rnacentral:lncRNA from 1 species
UUUCUGUCUGCCUCUCAUUGGCAAACAUGACAUUUCAGCAAUUUCUCUAAAGAGGAAUGACUGGGGGGUAUGUACAGCAGGCAUCAUGUAAGAAAAACUCACACCUCACGACAUAUUUGUUUGAUUUAUUCAGCAGACUUCAGCAAAGGAAAGAUGUGAAAGCAACCCUUGAUUGUUGAUUUUUUGUUCAUUCUGAAAAUCACAUCGCCAGAUCCAACACCUUUUUAUCCCAAUCACCAGUACAAGCCACCCGUAUCAGUGUACACUGUGGCUGACCGAUCCAUAGUGAUGCUUUGAGCACAAGGAAGGACUUUCUGGAAUCUACUUAUCUGACCAAGAAAGCUUCUUUCCAAAAGAAAUGCAAUUGUCUUGAGACUUCUUCCCUAGGGAUCUGAUCAACUAACCAGAAAAGAGCAACCACCAGAGAAGAGACUAUUGUGGUCUACUCUAUAGAAGGGAUCAUGCUUUGAACCUCAUCUUGAAAGGAGAUUCAAUCUUUCCUUCUUGCUCCUAAUAUCAACAGAGGGUGGAA